rnacentral:rRNA from 1 species
GUAGGUGGCAAGCGUUGUCCGGAAUUAUUGGGCGUAAAGCGCGCGCAGGCGGUUCUUUAAGUCUGAUGUGAAAGCCCACGGCUCAACCGUGGAGGGUCAUUGGAAACUGGAGAACUUGAGUACAGAAGAGGAAAGCGGAAUUCCACGUGUAGCGGUGAAAUGCGUAGAGAUGUGGAGGAACGCCAGUGGCGAAGGCGGCUUUCUGGUCUGUAACUGACGCUGAGGCGCGAAAGCGUGGGGAGCAAACAGGAUUAGAUACCCUGGUAGUCCACGCCGUAAACGAUGAGUGCUAAGUGUUAGGGGGUUUCCGCCCCCUUAGUGCUGCAGCUAACGCAUUAAGCACUCCGCCUGGGAGUACGGCCGCAAGGCUG